GCAUGGCUGAAUACUGUGUUCUUUUAUCAGUAGUUCACACAGCCAGACACCAUGCAGAAGCAGUCUUCCCUUUAGAAUGACUGAUGGUAUGCUAAGGUUUUUCAUAGCAUAUCAUUAUUAAAGGUGAAUACAAAU
rnacentral:snoRNA from 10 species